GUGGGGAAUAUUGCGCAAUGGGCGAAAGCCUGACGCAGCGACGCCGCGUGAGGGAAGAAGGUCUUCGGAUCGUAAACCUCUGUCAGGAGGGAAGAAGUUUCACGGUGCUAAUCAGCCGUGAAUUGACGGUACCUCCAGAGGAAGCACCGGCUAACUCCGUGCCAGCAGCCGCGGUAAUACGGAGGGUGCAAGCGUUAAUCGGAAUUACUGGGCGUAAAGCGCUCGUAGGCUGUUGUGUAAGUCAGGGGUGAAAUCCCACGGCUCAACCGUGGAACUGCCCUUGAUACUGCGUGACUCGAGUCCGGGAGAGGAUGGCGGAAUUCCAGGUGUAGGAGUGAAAUCCGUAGAUAUCUGGAGGAACAUCAGUGGCGAAGGCGGCCAUCUGGACCGGUACUGACGCUGAGGAGCGAAAGCGUGGGGAGCAAACAGGAUUAGAAACCCUAGUAGUCC
rnacentral:rRNA from 1 species